GCCAAAGUGGUGGAAUUGGCAGACACGCUACAUUCAGGAUGUAGUCCUAGAAAUAGGGUGGGGGUUCAACUCCCCCCUUUGGCA
rnacentral:tRNA from 1 species